UACGUAGGGGGCAAGCGUUAUCCGGAUUUACUGGGUGUAAAGGGAGCGUAGACGGCGAUGCAAGUCUGAAGUGAAAGCCCAGGGCUCAACCCCGGGACUGCUUUGGAAACUGUAUGGCUGGAGUGCUGGAGAGGCAAGCGGAAUUCCUAGUGUAGCGGUGAAAUGCGUAGAUAUUAGGAAGAACACCAGUGGCGAAGGUGGCUUGCUGGACAGUAACUGACGUUGAGGCUCGAAAGCGUGGGGAGCAAACAGG
rnacentral:rRNA from 1 species